rnacentral:lncRNA from 1 species
UCCAAUAUUCCUGCCUCAGUUCUUAGAAUCGGGACCUGGGAGAUACCUUUCAAUUUAUGUGAUAGGAAAGGAUAUGUAGUUGUUGAACAUCCAAUAACCCAGGUGAUGGUCCCGGAACUUUAGAUGUUGUUGAAUGAGAAAACUAUUAUGCUUUUAGCUUGACUUACUGAAAUUUGUCUCCAAUUUCUAAUGCAUUGUCAAUAAUUCGUUUCAUUUACUUACGUGUAGUUGGUAAGGCAACCUCUUUCAUUUACUGGUGAUGAAUUUCUUGAACUGUGGCUAUAUCUUUGCUCCAGCUUGAAUAUGUGUUAAAUACGGUAGCUUGUUAGGGGACUUUUGAAGUGCAAAUGAAACAAUUGGGACAAUAAUCUUCACAGCUAGUAGCUUGUUAGAGGACUUUUCUUUCACGAUACCAACCAGGAGGUAUUAUGUAUAAUGGGCAUGUAUUUAAGAUAAUUAAGACUGAAGACUCUGUGAAUUGAUUCCCAUUCCAUUUUGAUGUUCGAUUUUUCAGUACUUUUCCAUUUUCAUUUUGUUGUCAUCUUCCUCUUUCCCCUUUACUGUUCUCAAUGAUUUUAUUUAGUUGUUUGAGAAUUGUGUUGCCAUUUGAAUUACAUGUGCAAGUGUUAAAAAAAACCAAUUACAACCACUGAUGGAACUGUUGAUUCUAAUAUGUAAAGACUUUUAUCCAUAUGACUCUUUUCCCUUUUUGAAGUGUAAUGACAGGGCAAACAGAGACUGCGGUCAUUCUAAGUGGAAAACUAAAGUCGAGUCGAAUGACGAAUCAAGUAAUGAUCUAUCGGGUAUGUUUGAGAAAUGUGCUCAAAUCACAGCAAAGAGAAACGUCGAAAUAACCGUCAACAGCAAAGAGAAGACAUAAUGAAGAAAAUGAACGCAUUUGACUGCCAUUAUUAAAACCUUUGUUGGACUGGUUUUGUAAACAUCAAAUGUGGAUAAGGGAUUUAAAGUGUAUUGUAGUUUUUGUGAUGUGAACAA